AACUAAAAUAAUUCAGUUGAAAUAAAUGCAAUCUUAUUCCAUUGACUAACUCAAGUUAUAGGGUUUCACAAGUCUAAAUACGCAGCGGAACAAUAAAGAUAAAACUUCAAUUUAAACAAAGCCUAAUCUAGGAUAACUUGUGCUUCAGUUCUUCUAGUCGCUCUCCCAUUUUAAAUCCCCGAUAGGUUAGUUCUCAGAAUCUGUAAAACAACAAGAAAUCGUAUAAUGAGCUAGACAGCC
rnacentral:lncRNA from 1 species